rnacentral:misc_RNA from 1 species
GAUGAAGAACGUAGCGAAAUGCGAUAAGUAAUGUGAAUUGCAGAAUUCAGUGAAUCAUCGAAUCUUUGAACGCACAUAGCGCCCGCCAGUAUUCUGGCGGGCAUGCCUGUUCGAGCGUCAUUUCAACCAUCAAGCCCCCGGCUUGUGUUGGGGACCUGCGGCUGCCGCAGGCCCUGAAAAUCAGUGGCGGGCUCGCUAGUCACUCCGAGCGUAGUAAUACAUCUCGCUCAGGGCGUGCUGCGGGUUCCGGCCGUUAAAAGCCUUAUUUACCCAAGGUUGACCUCGGAUCAGGUAGGAAGACCCGCUGAACUUAAGCAUAUCAAUAAGCGGAGGA